UAGUGGUUAGGAUUCGGCGCUCUCACC
rnacentral:piRNA from 7 species